rnacentral:rRNA from 1 species
AGCAGCCGCGGUAAUUCCAGCUCCAAUAGCGUAUAUUAAAGUUGUUGCAGUUAAAAAGCUCGUAGUUGAAUUUCGGGAUCAAUAUGUUGGUCGUGCCUUGGUACGUACUGGCGUCAUUGGUUUCUACCUUCUGAAGAACCUCGAUGUCAUUAAUUUGGUGUCUUGGGGAAUCAGGACUGUUACUUUGAAAAAAUUAGAGUGUUUAAAGCAGGCCAACGCUUGAAUACAUUAGCAUGGAAUAAUGAAAUAGGACGUUCGAUCCUAUUUUGUUGGUUUCUAGGAUUGACGUAAUGAUUAAUAGGGAUAGUUGGGGGCAUUAGUAUUCAAUUGUCAGAGGUGAAAUUCUUGGAUUUAUUGAAGACUAACUACUGCGAAAGCAUUUGCCAAGGAUGUUUUCAUUAAUCAAGAACGAAAGUUAGGGGAUCGAAGACGAUCAGAUACCGUCGUAGUCUUAACCAUAAACUAUGCCGACUAGGGAUCGGAUGAUGUUAAUUUUUAANGACUNAUUCGCGCUUACGGG